ACUCCUACGGGAGGCAGCAGUGGGAAUAUUGCACAAUGGGCGCAAGCCUGAUGCAGCCAUGCCGCGUGUAUGAAGAAGGCCUUCGGGUUGUAAAGUACUUUCAGCAGUGAGGAAGGUGAGUGUAGUUAAUAGCUGCAUUUAUUGAUCGUUAGCUGCAGAAGAAGCACCGGCUAACUCCGUGCCAGCAGCCGCGGUAAUACGGAGGGGUGCGAGCGUUAAUCGGAAUUACUGGGCGUAAAGCGCAUGCAGGUGGUUUGUUAAGUCAGAUGUGAAAGCCCGGGGCUCAAGCCUCGG
rnacentral:rRNA from 1 species